AAAAGAAAGGUCCUAAAACCCAAACCGACCCAUUUCUGACUGGUUAGGGGGGUAAUAAAAGGCCCUAAAACCCACACUGACCCAUUUCUGAGUGUUUUUGGGGUAAAAAAUGCCCUAAAACCCAAACUGACCCAUUUCUGAGUGGUUUUAGGGGUAAAAUGCCCUAAAACCCAAAUUGACCCAUUUCUGUGUUGUUUUAGGGGAAAAAAAAGGUUUUAAAACCCACAUUUAUCCAUUCCUGAGUGUCUCUGAGGAAGAGGCCCUAAAAUCCACGCUGACCCAUUUUUGAGCAUUUUUGGGUGAAAAAAAAAGCCAUGAAGUUUGGAUUUGCCCAUUUCUGAGUGUUCCUGCAGAAAAAAAAAGAGGCCCUAAAACCCAAAUUAAUCAAAAGGCCCUAAAACCCAAACUGACCCAUUUCUGACUGCUUUUGGGGGUAAAAAAAGGUCCUCAAACCCAAACUGACCCAAACUGACCCAUUUCUGAGUGUUUUGGUGGUAAAAAAAGGCCCUAAAACCCAAAUUUGCCCAUUUCUGUGUAUAUUUUGGGUCUAAAAGGCCCUAAAACCCAAAUCUGCCCAUUUCUGUGUAUAUUUGGGUCCAAAAGGCCCUAAAAGCCAAAUUUGCCCAUUUCUCUGUAUAUUUUGGGUCAAAAAGGCCCUAAAACCCCAAAUUUGCCCAUUUCUAUGUAUAUUUUGGGUCCAAAAGGCCCUAAAACCCCAAAUUUGCCCAUUUCUGUGUAUUUUUGGGUCAAAAAGGCCCUAAAACCCCAAAUUUGCCCAUUUCUAUGUAUUUUUGGGUCCAAA
rnacentral:lncRNA from 1 species